ACAGCAUAGGUGCAAAAAAAAAAUCUACAUUAAAACCCUUUGUUGGAAUGCUUUACACUUUCCACAGAACAGAAACUAAAAUAACCUGUUAUACAAUUAGUCACAAAUACAGUCCUCGAGUUUUUUGCCCAUACACAUGAGUAUUUGUCUAAAACAUGUCUUCUUUGUAGCAGCUAGGCCCUGCCACCACUGUGCUUGGCUGAGUUCACAAAUCUGUUGUAACCUGUAGCUUCCCUGUCACUUCUCUGGCUCUCCGCUCCUGCUAAGCUUUGUUUCC
rnacentral:lncRNA from 1 species